AGGACGAACGCUGGCGGAAUGCUUAACACAUGCAAGUCGAGCGAGAACCAGUCCUUCGGGACUGGGGACAGCGGCGAACGGGUGAGUAACACGUGGAUAACCUGCCCUCGGCACCGGGAAUAAGCUUGGGAAACUGAGUCUAAUGCCGGAUAGCCUGCCGCCCUUUCGAGGGCAGCAGAAAAGGUAGCUUCGGCCUCUGGCCGAGGAUGGGUCCGCGGCUGAUUAGCUUGGUUGGUGGGGUAACGCCUACCAAGGCGACGAUCAGUAGCUGGUCUGAGAGGACGAUCAGCCACGACUGGGACUGAGACACGGCCAGACUCCGUACGGGAGGCAGCAGGUGGGAAUCUGCGCAAGUGGGACGAAA
rnacentral:rRNA from 1 species